GACGAACGCUGGCGGCGUGCUUAACACAUGCAAGUCGAACGGAGCGAAUGAAAGCUUGCUUUUAUGAGCUUAGUGGCAAACGGGUGAGUAACACGUAGACAACCUGCCGAUCAGAUGGGGACAACAUUCCGAAAGGAAUGCUAAUACCGAAUGAAGUGUGGGGGAGGCAUCUUCCCUACAUGAAAGAUGGCCUCUAUUUAUAAGCUAUCACUGAUCGAUGGGUCUGCGUCUGAUUAGCUAGUAGGUAAGGUAACGGCUUACCUAGGCGACGAUCAGUAGCCGGUCUGAGAGGAUGAACGGCCACAUUGGGACUGAGACACGGCCCAGACUCCUACGGGAGGCAGCAGUGGGGAAUCUUCCGCAAUGGGCGCAAGCCCUGACGGAGCAAACGCCCGCGUGAGUGAAAGAAAGGUCUUUCGGAUCGUAAAAGCUUCUGUUGAAAGGGG
rnacentral:rRNA from 1 species